GGGGAAUAUUGCACAAUGGGCGAAAGCCUGAUGCAGCGACGCCGCGUGAGGGAUGACGGCCUUCGGGUUGUAAACCUCUUUCAGCAGGGAAGAAGCGAAAGUGACGGUACCUGCAGAAGAAGCACCGGCUAACUACGUGCCAGCAGCCGCGGUAAUACGUAGGGUGCGAGCGUUGUCCGGAAUUAUUGGGCGUAAAGAGCUUGUAGGCGGUUUGUCGCGUCUGCAGUGAAAAUCCGAGGCUCAACCUCGGACUUGCUGUGGGUACGGGCAGACUAGAGUAUGGUAGGGGAGACCGGAAUUCCUGGUGUAGCGGUGGAAUGCGCAGAUAUCAGGAGGAACACCGAUGGCGAAGGCAGGUCUCUGGGCCAUAACUGACGCUGAGAAGCGAAAGCAUGGGGAGCGAAC
rnacentral:rRNA from 1 species